UACAGAGGUCCCAAGCGUUGUUCGGAUUCAUUGGGCGUAAAGGGCGCGUAGGCGGCGCGGCAAGUCGGGUGUGAAAUCUCGGGGCUUAACUCCGAAACUGCAUUCGAUACUGCCGUGCUUGAGGACUGGAGAGGAGACUGGAAUUUACGGUGUAGCGGUGAAAUGCGUAGAUAUCGUAAGGAAGACCAGUGGCGAAGGCGGGUCUCUGGACAGUUCCUGACGCUGAGGCACGAAGGUCAGGGGAGCAAACAGG
rnacentral:rRNA from 1 species